rnacentral:pre_miRNA from 1 species
UUGCGGUGCAUUGUAGUUGCAUUGCAUGCCUACUAAACUGUGCAGUGCUUCUGCAGUGCAACCGCAA